CGGCGACUCCCCCGCGGCGGGCGGCGGCGACUCCACGGUACCUAGGCCGCUCCCGUUUACAGCAAUUGGUUCAAUGGUGUGGCCACGAGUUUGACGGUCUCCUAGUGUUUGAUGAGUGCCACAAGGCCAAAAAUCUGAUUCCUGAUGCAGGGAGCCAGCCCACUCGCACGGGAAAAGCAGUUCUUGAGAUCCAGGUCUUUAAGACGUGUCAUACGGUUUUGCAACCCUUGCAACUGAGUUCAAUAGAAGCAUCAGUGGUUGAGGCUUGCCUAUAUGUGUGUCCGUCGCCUCAAGCAGGACAUUUGUAUGUUGUACCACUGCCCUAGAUUCCUGCAAGUUAGCAACGGCUACAAAUGAUGGUAGUCGAGCUCGGAACUGAAUGAAGGUAUGCCAAAUAAUAUGGUAACAGACUUACCCGUUGUUCUUGUAUUACAUCAUCGAACCGCUUGUUAAGUGCAUUGAACCUGUCAUCAAUUUGAUUUGAUAGUAACCUGUACUGAUUGGUAAUGAACUCUUGAAGUUCCUGCAUAAUUUUAUGAUUGCUAUCAUCUUGUCCCUUGUCCGAUUGUUCUGAUGUUGUGUGGCAUAGAGGGAUUGAGCAUGUGUUGUUAUGUUUAUGUCUUGUAAUGUCAUGGACAAUCUGACAUAGAAUAGAAAGAAGGAUUUUGUUAGUAGGUGCUGGGUUUUCUAAAAGUUACUGAUCUCUGAUAUACUUUUACCUUUCCUUCCCCAAAAUGAUGGUUGCGUGCUAGUUUGCAUCGUUCUUUGGCUCUCUUUUCGUCCCAAUAUUGCAUAAGUGGUUUGUCCCCUCCAGGAUGUUCUAAUCUAGGGUACAUAUGAGACAUAGACACCUUCUCCCAGUACCAGACCUGUAGUUAAAAAAAAUGUAGUUGUGUUUGCUGUGAAUAUAAACAUAGUGUCAUGAGGUUAUCUUCAACAUUUCGAAUGUACAUACCUGCAAUAGAACUAGAUUCCCUUUAAGGUUAGCUGCCUUUACCUCCUUGUAUUCCCGUAUGCUUCUGAUCAAGAAAUUAAGAACUAGGCUGCUCCAGUUCAGGUUCUUGAUAUUAUCAAUUUCUUCAACGAGCCCAAGAUAAUCUGAUUUGACGUAUGGCUGUAGUGUUGGGCACAAGUAGAAACCAAUGGUGUACAGCACAAAUAUGCGAAUAAAGUCAUCACCAUAGGUUUUGUUCUUGCUUAAAUAUUCCCUCAACUCCGAUGAAUGAAUUUUAGUAGAAUCAUUCCAUGUGUACUUGUCAAACAGACCAGGUACAUGUUUUUUUGGAGGCUCCUUUAUUUCAUCGCCUUGGGAUGGAAGGCCUAGUAUAUGAUCAACAUCUUUGAUGGAUAUUUUCACCUUCUUUUCUUGAAUGUUGAAUUCUUCUUUGUCUAAGUCGAAACUGUCCGCAAUCUCCUUGCAUAGCUCGCGUCGAAUCUCUAUGUCCUUAAGCUUAAGUAAAGAACCAAAUCCUGCUUUCUCAACAGCAUCCUUUUGUUCUUGGUCGAACAUGCUUAUAAUCUCUACUAGUAAUUUCUGCGAGCAUUUACAUGUACCCUGAAGGAAAAUAAUAAUUAGGGAUGUUUUUCUGCAGCUUAUGUGAAGUUCAGGUAUGUUUCUUGUAAUUGGUGUUGAUCUAUUUUUUUUGUUCGAUUAGGGGAUAUUAAGACAUAUGAGUUAAUAAUCUUACAAAGAUAAAAUCAAAAACUGGUACAGUUAGGAUCAGCUUUGCAGACAGUAACUUAGGCCAUCAUUUGCCAUAAUUAUUUUAAGAGACUGAAUGAAAGGUGCAUAUAAUGUAUUCUCUUAUUUAAAUGUGCAUGGUUACUGAGUUGCAGGCAAGUGGUGGUAUUCUGCCUGUAAACUGCUCUGUUGGUUAUUCCUGAAAUGUAACAGCCUUGUUGUUUCACAAACAAUGAAGGCUUAUGAUUGGAUGGUUGCGCUUGAAUGCAUCAAGUGUUUUAUGCUAGAAACUUUUGCUAUCGCUACACUGCAUUUGAUAAUUGCUGAUUGUGUUCUGUAAUAUUUUUAUGGCGCAACGGUGGAUCAAUGAGCAUGUUGACAUAUCCAGUGCUGAUGCUCUCAACGAACCUCUACUUGGCUCCAGCCAUGACAACAGUGGAUCAGAGGUUUAUGAUCCUAGAAGGCAGGACUUGUGGGAUGCUGAUAGAAAGAAGGAGCAACUGCACUGGUCAUUUCUUUUCUGAAAUCUGAUUGCACAAUGGGCACAAAGGUUGGAUGAGAUUGAACUUACUGGAUUGAAUGGGAGAGAUGUAAUUGGAUCAAUUAGCGCAGGUGGUGCAUGCUCCUUCUGUUGCGCUGGUGGUGUAUGGUCCUGCUCUUGUGUGUCACGAUUGAUGGGUGUCACCGAAGAAGUAGAUCCGUCCACAUCCAUGGUGGCUGAACUGCCGCUGCCUGCUGCCUUCCUGCCGUCCACAUCCAUGAAGCAAGAUUGUUUUUAUUAUCUAACGUGUAGAGUUUUAUUAGAUUAGGCCUCACGUGAAGAGUUUUAUUAAAUUAGGCCUCACGUGAAGAGUUUGUUUAAAUUAGGCCUCACGUGAAGAGUUUGUAAGCUAAUACACGUGAAGAGUUUGUAAGCUAAUACAUGUGAACUCAUGCGUGCCAGAUGGCAUAUGGUAGGUCGUUGAGUCGGCGUUUCUGAAUUUCUGGCCGGUUCUGAAUUUCUGGAAGAUGUGAACCAGUGCAAUCGGCAAGUCAUACAUAUGCCUUUAUAUAGUGCUUGCUUAGUUUGUAUCAGGUUUUCUGAACCAUUGUUGCCAAGUGAGUACGGAGAAGACGUGCACCUUGUCGUA